rnacentral:lncRNA from 1 species
GAGAAAUCACCUGCAAGUAGCCAUCGAGCUGCCUUUGUUCUGCCUGCCAUCUUCCCCAUUAUCAGAAGUCGGACUUAGGUCAAGAGCCUUGCCAAUGACCUAUGAAAUGGGAAAGUACUCUUGCUAUACGACCCAGCAAUUGCGUUCCUUGGUACUUACCCAAAUGGGCUAAAACACGUCCACACAGAAACCUGUAACUGAAUGUCUAUAGCAGCUAUAUUUGUAAUUGCUCUAACUUGGACCUAACCAAGAUAUC